UUUCCGUAGGUGAACCUGCGGAAGGAUCAUUAAAGAGAAUAUGCCCUUCGGGGUAGAUCUCCCACCCUUUGUUUAUAUUACCUUUGUUGCUUUGGCAGGCCCGUCUUCGGACCACCGGCUUCGGCUGGUCAGUGCUUGCCAGAGGACCAAAACUCUUAUUAUUAAUGUCGUCUGAGUACUAUAUAAUAGUUAAAACUUUCAACAACGGAUCUCUUGGUUCUG
rnacentral:misc_RNA from 1 species